rnacentral:tRNA from 1 species
UGGCAAGUAGCUCAGUUGGUAGAGCAACGUAAACAUCCUUUUUCGUCCCUUGUCUGCAAAGACCGAAGAAUGAGGGUUAUCGCCUUUUUAAGCCGUGGGUCGCAGGUUCGAGUCCUGCCUUGCCACCCA